rnacentral:rRNA from 1 species
GAAUUCACUAGUGAUUCAGGCCUAACACAUGCAAGUCGAGCGAACCCUUCGGGGUGAGCGGCGGACGGGUGAGUAACGCGUGGGUAACCUGCCCUAUACACACGGAUAACGUACCGAAAGGUACGCUAAUACGAGAUGACAUAUUUUUAUCGCAUGGUAGAAAUAUCAAAGCUCCGGCGGUAUAGGAUGGACCCGCGUCUGAUUAGCUAGUUGGUAAGGUAAUGGCUUACCAAGGCGACGAUCAGUAGCCGACCUGAGAGGGUGAUCGGCCACAUUGGAACUGAGACACGGUCCAAACUCCUACGGGAGGCAGCAGUGGGGAAUAUUGCACAAGUGGGCGAAAGCCUGAUGCAGCAACGCUGC